GGGCUCAUGGUGUAGCUUGGUUAGAGUCUUUCGAGACGACAAACAUCGGAGCUUUGGGAGCUUCAGACCCCAGUUCAAAUCUGGGUGGGCCCA
rnacentral:tRNA from 1 species